rnacentral:rRNA from 1 species
GGAGGAAUGUAUAGCGAAAGCUAGUUGCAUUAAGCAUUACUGUUAAUGCAGCAGCGACUAUGUCGUGUAAAGUUCAGGGUAGAGUUAUGAUAAUGACAUUUUCUAUCUGUGUGUCUCGACCAAACUACGUGCCAGCAGUCGCGGUAAUACGUUAGAGACUAGUGUUAGUCGUCUUUAGUAGGUUUAUUGGGUACCUAGACGGUCAUAACAGCCCCUAAAGGGUACUGUUAGAACUUGAGUUUUAUGAGAGGGGGGGUGUACUAAUGGUGUAGAGAUGAAAUUCAGUCAUACCAUUACGAACAGGCAACAGCGAAGGCAACCCUUUAUGUGUAAACUGACGUUGAAGGACGAAGGCUUAGUCAACCAACAGGAUUAGAUACCCUAGCAGUCUGAGCAGACAAUGAUGAAUGUCAUAGACUUAUACGUGAAAAGGGUGAAAUCUUUUCCAUGUCUAUAAAUGAAAGUGUAAGCAUUCCACCUCAAGAGUAACGUGGCAACGCGGAAACUGAAAUCAUUAGACCGUUUCUGAAACCAGUAGUGAAGUAUGUUGUUUAAUUUGAUAAUCCGCGGUACACCUUACCACAAUUUGUAUGUUUAUUUAUAAAUACAAGAGUUGCACGGCUGUCUUCAGUUAAUGUCGUGAGAUUUUGGUUAGUUCCAUUAAAUUAACGUAAACCCUUACUUUAUUUUAGUAAAUAGAGUAGUUCACCGCUAUAUUGGAUAUUGAUAAAAGGGACUAAGACAAGUCAUCAGGGCCCGAAUAUUGUGGGCUAUAGACGUGCCACGUCCGCCUAUACAAAGGGAUGCGAAA